ensembl:rRNA 5S_rRNA 5S ribosomal RNA
GUCUCUGCCCAUAUCAGCCUGAAGGCGCCCGAUCUCAUCUGAUCUCGGAAGCUAAAAGCACAAGCUAUGAAGUGGGAGAAAAU